GGGGUUGUGGCUCAGUGAUAGAGCACUCGCUUAGCACGUGAAAGGCCCUGGGUUCGAUUCUCAGCACCACA
rnacentral:tRNA from 1 species